CGAUGGCCGAACGACAACAGCAGCACGCCCCCGACUGCCCACUCUGACGACGAUUCCUGCGGUCCAGAUGUUGCUAACUGAAUCCUUCGGCCAGGCAUCUUGCUCUCUUAUUUUUCUUCAUACAGGGCCGAUCAAUUGUCAUGGUGUCCUUAAGCACAAUUCACAAGCUUCCCCGUUAUCUCUGGGUUAUAGAUUUGUUGCACUCAAUGGAAACUGGGAGCAUUACUCUCCUUGACUGGAAUCAGUGGCCAGAUUAUAGAUCACACAAGCUGUUGGUUAAAGAUGGAGAUAAAGACAUGCUUUUGUGACCAAGGGGUGGAAUUCUUUUCAGCUUACAGAAACCUUCUUACCAACAUCGCUUCUUGCCGACGCACCAAUCUUUAAAAACGAACUGAUAGCUACAUGAUUUUACUUUGUAUUCCUUGGUUUAAAUCAUGUAUACAGUGUAGUGUUUGCUUUUUGACAAUUUCUUAUUCACCUGUAUGCUUUCUUUUGCAAGUUCAUUCCCAAUCUCUAAUAGCCAAUUAAUGACUGCAUGAUCUGGUUCUGCUUUAGUGCCCUCAAACUGUACUUUCAGUUAGAUGCCCAUUGAAUAAUGAUUGCUUAAUCUUCCUAUCAUUUUCCUUUGAAAUUGUGCUUCACAAAUAGUAGUCAAACAAGACUACCAUUUACUCAGGCCAUGCUUUCAAUCCCACGCCUAUUGACUAAUGAUUGCUUCUUCAGGCAUGGAAAUCCCUGUGCUGACGGUGCUUGCAAAUAUUUUCAGCCAUGGAAUAUGUGAUGUAAGGUGCAGGGGAGUAUGCGUGUCCCCAUUGGCAGAGAUCCCUGCUUUUGAAAUUUUUCCGUUUAAAAUUCAGAUAUGUCGAGUUAAGUAAAAUUCAGUGGUGAAGAAAGUCUUACGAUGUACAAUUAUUUUAGUGUAAAUCUCCGUUGGAAAAAAAUCAGUUAGUAAAGAAGGAAUACAUCAUCCUUUUUGUUAUAACAAUGUUUAUGAUACUUUGUUGCAGAGAACAAAGGGGUUGUAAGAUAUAUGGCAUAACAUGAUAAAAAACAAUGAAAUCUUAGGUAAAGAGAUAUGCUUGCUGCUCCGGUAUCAAGUGAAGAUCUUGGUUCAAUAUGCUUGUCCAGCGCCUGAAGUAUUUGGAUGAACAGUAUGUCAAUGUCAACCUACAUGAUGAUGACUUUUUCUACGCCGAGCAUUGUGAUCAAGAUGUCAAAGAAAAAAAAAAUCCCUGUUGUGGUGUGUGCAUUAUGAUUAUCCUUAUACAGUGGGCACAACUACUUGCUGUCCGGAUAAGCUUACUCCUUAAUACUACUCUACAUUUAGGAAUGCAGUGAGUAUGUGGUGUUUUUUUCUUCUGAUGUGCAGAGUGGUGCAGUUGGAUAGUUGUUCAAGAUAAUUUUGCCUGAAGUUUUGAUAUAUUUUUAUAUUUUGAUAUAAUGUGAUCUGCCCAAAAAAUAGACAAAUAUGAAAAUUAUAUGGUCA